UACGUAGGGUGCGAGCGUUGUCCGGAAUUACUGGGCGUAAAGAGCUCGUAGGUGGUUUGUCGCGUUGUUCGUGAAAUCUCACGGCUUAACUGUGAGCGUGCGGGCGAUACGGGCAGACUGGAGUACUGCAGGGGAGACUGGAAUUCCUGGUGUAGCGGUGAAAUGCGCAGAUAUCAGGAGGAACACCGGUGGCGAAGGCGGUUCUCUGGGCAUUACCUGACGCUGAGGAGCGAAAGUGUGGGGAGCGAACAGG
rnacentral:rRNA from 1 species